GUGCUGGACAUUAGAUGUACCAUGUGAAUGUAUUCAUAACAGAAACAAAGAUGGUGAUCACCAACGUUCGGAUCCUUUUUGGAGCAAUUGAACCCAGCGUACGUGUUUUUCUCGUAGCAGGUCUUGUUGUAGAGCAUACCAGAAUUGGAAUUCCCGAAAAUGUGAGAAAAAUAAUUUUGAGACAAAGGCGC